ACUCAGGGACAGGCCUGAGCUCACGGUCUGUCUUGCAGGAAGAGGGUCGGUCCAUCUGUGUCUGCUACAUUUGGUCCCCAGCACCUUGGGGCUCCAUUGUUCUUUGCUGGACAUCCAGACUGGAUGGGCUGCUCAGCCAGCUGCCUUCCUGCCUCUUUUCACUGAUGGGCACCUGUACCGUGUCAGGCAUUGUGAUGUCGGAUGUGUUGGACUCAGAACCCACUAUUCCGCAGACCCACUGCUCAGGAAGAAGACAUUUCUGUAGUCAAGCCCAUUCCGAAGUCUUUGUGCAAAAGAUGGGGUUGGAGAACAGCGGUGCAUCCUAAGAGAAGUGGGAGCGUUAAGGUUUGGAUGUGAGGCACUUCAGGUGGCUCAGGGUGAACCGUCAGUGUGAAGACUGUGGCCACACGGGCAGAUAAGCAAAUAGAAGUAGACACCCCAGGAAAAGACACACAACCGACAUGGAGCUCUCUACAGAGGUGCGUUUGUUUAUGGUGGAAAUGGUCUCCAUAAUUACGGAAGCCGGGAAGUUCUAUCAUCUGCCACUUGCAGUUUCAGACCCCAGGCAUGCUGGUGGUGCACUUGUAAGGGAUUUUGAAUGUGACAACUCUGUGCUCCAUUCCCAGAAGGCUCAUCUGCAAUCCUAGGUGUGAAAACCAGGGAGCAAAUCUCAGCCUUGAGGCUGGUGGAGGUGGGGAGGACUCCUGGAGGUGGGGAGGACUCCUGGAGGUGGAGAGGAGUCGGAGCCCAAACACCAGGCUUUAGCUUAUGGCAAAUUAAUGUGUUUAAGGAAAGAAACAAGCAAGCAACAAAACCAAGAAAAGCCUUACAAAUUAUGAAAAACAUCUUGAGGGAUGUGUUAAAACUGUAAUGGACUCUGGAUCCCCAAGAGGAUUUUAGCUGCAGAAAGCACGCAGGUUGCUCAACCUCAAGGUCGGCAUAGGAGGCAGAUGGGAAGAUGUGGCAAUCCCAGGGCUUAUGAAACUUGGAUAAAGCAUGAGGCGGCUUCCCACUA